rnacentral:rRNA from 1 species
UACGAAGGGGGCUAGCGUUGCUCGGAAUCACUGGGCGUAAAGCGCACGUAGGCGGACUCUUAAGUCAGGGGUGAAAUCCUGGAGCUCAACUCCAGAACUGCCUUUGAUACUGAGAGCCUUGAGUCCGGAAGAGGUAAGUGGAACUGCGAGUGUAGAGGUGAAAUUCGUAGAUAUUCGCAAGAACACCAGUGGCGAAGGCGGCUUACUGGUCCGGUACUGACGCUGAGGUACGAAAGCGUGGGGAGCAAACAGG